CUGGACGGCGCCUGCGCGGUGGGCGUGAUCCGGGCACUUAGGGCAGGAUGAACGCUGCUUUCCAAGAUGGCGACGGAGGGAGGAGGGAAGGAGAUGAACGAGAUUAAGACCCAAUUCACCACUCGGGAAGGUCUGUACAAGCUACUGCCGCACUCGGAGUACAGCCGGCCCAACCGGGUGCCCUUCAACUCGCAGGGAUCCAACCCUGUCCGCGUCUCCUUCGUAAACCUCAACGACCAGUCUGGCAACGGCGACCGCCUCUGCUUCAAUGUGGGCCGGGAGCUCUACUUCUAUAUCUACAAGGGGGUCCGCAAGGUACCGACCCAGGCGUCGCCGGGGCCCGCCAACGACACGGGCAGAGGCCGGGGGCAGGGCGGUGACAAGUGGGACCAGGGUGACCGAUGGGGUGGCCGUCGCUCUUACUUUUUGAGUGGGCCGGUAACUCCACUGGGGUACUCCUGA